AGAAAAUAUUGCCCUUUGUUACUUGGCAGCAGCCCAGCAAACGCUGUCGGCGCUGCAUGAAAUCUCAGUCAGGAGAAGAGCUUUGUUUUCAUGCUGGAAAAGAUAAAAGUUUCCACUGUUGAAGCCCUGCCAUGCUGAAGCCCGGAGCCGUGGCCUCAGGUCUGCUUUGGGGGCUCUCGUUGUGACCCGGCUGAUUGGCAGCAAUGUGCCCCAAAGCGCCUCGUGUGCCACAGCAGAUUAAUGGCCGCUAUUUAAUAUGUUCUUGUGAACCUGCAUGGAUCGUCACAGUGGCAACUGUCCUUACACAGCCUGCUUCAUCUGUCUGUGAACUGCUCCUGGGAGGUAUGGGCUGUACUGCACAGCAUGGGGCUGUGCCUGCACACGCGUGGGGCAGAGCUGGAGGUUCACAGGUCAGAGCAGAUAUGUACCUGUAGAGACAAAUCUGUAGCACAGCUUAUGUUCAUUUCAAAUCUGAUUCAGAAGUUUCCUUCUUGUCUCGAAAUGAAGUAGCUGCCUCUCCCAAUGAUUACCUGUGCUUGUUCCGGUAUGUAUAGGAGGCAGCUGACAAUGAAAUGUUGGGAAUAUGAAAGAAAGAAAAACGACGGUAAGGAGAGUUUUAAAAAGUUUGGGGGAAAAAAGUUAGUAGAAGUGGAAGUCAAAAAUUCUAUCUCUUUGGGUUCUUUUAACAAAUUACAUUAUUUGACCAAUCCAUGUAUUAUCUGUAAAUGCUGAGGCAGUGUCAAUUGUAUUUUUAGCAAAGAAAAGGAAGAAAAAGUGAAACAAAUCUGUCCUCUUGCUCGAAACCAGACACUUAAUGGCAGCCGGAGGCAUCUUGGUGCCCUAGCAGCUUUCAGCUGCCUGUGCCCAUUGCUCCUCCCCAGCUCGGCUGCAAGCAUACAGAAAAUGGAAAGCAAGGAUGGCUACCAGAGAGACAGCCUAGCAAAUAUUUUUCAGAGUAAC
ensembl:lncRNA